rnacentral:lncRNA from 1 species
GCCCACUCUUAAACCCCGGCUUUGUUUCGCACAAACCGCACCCCUACUCACAUAGCCACAAUUCUUCACCUAUAUACCUCAAUUCACUUGAGAUUCUCCCUUAGGCGUGCAUUAUAAAGGGCAUCAACACAUCAAUUUCACAAGAUUUCAACUUUUUCAACUCCAUCAUUUCAAGAUAAUCAAGCUAUUUUGCUACACUUGCCAAAUUUCAAUUUUUAUGUGUAGUAGUACUUAACUUCUUGAAGAUAGUUGGAUUAGAUUGGUAAAUCAGCUUAGGUACUGUUUGGAUUUUGUGGUAAAAGUUAUGAUUUUUGGGAGUUAAACACAAUUGUUUAUUGUUCUUGUAUUUUGUUUAUAAGUGAUGCAAACCAAGUGUUUGUCAAAAUGCCAAUGUGAAGCCUUUGAUUGAAUUAGUGCCCCGUAUUCACACUAAUAUUCACGUUUGCAGCACAUUUUGAAUGUAUGCAAGGUUCAUCCUGCAUCCCAUGCAUUACCAACCUGCGGUCCUACAUUAUAACCACAAUCCUUGCAUUCCAUCGCUUUCCCCGUUUUCUGCAUGCGUUCCCUAUAUUUGGCCCCCAUCACACAUAUCUAUUAUGCUCUGUGUAAAUUAUUUUAGGCCCUAUUUCCUUUCUUGUCUUGGACUAAUAUUAUUUUUUUACCUUUUAUUUGACAGGAUGCUGCCUAAAUGAAAGCAAGACGCAUCUGUGUAAAUUAUUUUAGGCCCUAUUUCCUUUCUUGUCUUGGACUAAUAUUAUUUUUUUACCUUUUAUUUGACAGGAUGCUGCCUAAAUGAAAGCAAGACGCAUCUAUCUCCAAAGGAAAGGAAAAGGCUUCCAUAUCCACCAUGGUACGAACACGUGUUUAUGAUGAAGGCAUGCAAUGAUUUCAGAUUGCAGAUCACAAGAGGCUAUUUUAUCGAGUAUUGAUGAAAAGGAAUAUAUGGCUUGAGAGUUGAGAUGUAGGCCAUUUUGGGAGAUUUUGAAGGGUAUGAUAUUGAAACACUCAUAUGUAGAGCAUGAUGGUCAUGUGUGAUUGAUAAACAACAUAGGAUCUACCGUACGAUGUUAUAAGAAUUCUAUGCAUGAUUUUGAAUUAGAGCAUGAGCAAUGAAGUUGGAUACGAGAUAAGUGGAUGAUACUUCCCCUGAGGUGAUCGAGGAGUUCUAUGGUUUGACUCGGAAAAACAUCGUCCCAAUACCUUUGGAGCAAGAUACAACCUUGGUUACUCGAAUGCUCUACGAGGUAUAGGAUGAGGUAGGUGAGGAGUUCAAAUACGAUCAAUUGACUCAUUCCUUGAUCGUUCUAAGUAAGUUCAUUUGUCACAACAUUGAGCCCACCUCACAUAUGUCACAUUUAAAUAUGCAAAAGUGAGGCUACUUUAAUAAUUGGCAAGGGUUUUCAAGAUACAUAUAGGUACAUGCAUCUAUAAUCAGAUUGUUGAGUUUGCUUCUCUGCCAGAACGUCAUCAGAAGUUGAUUGUUCUCAGCCUCAUUUGUGGGUUUUGCUUAUCAUCGGAGGGUAUGACUUCUUUCAACAGAGCGACCAUGCCUAGCCAGUGUCCCUUUUAGUCGUAAGACCGCGGAAAUUCGUGGCAAAAUAUCCUCCAGAGCAGGCAGUGUCAGUAGCAACCAUUGUAGAAGGCCAUGGGCCCGCAGUCUCCACAGCCAGAUCCUAUCAAUGACACUCCAGUCCACUCCAGCGACAGUUGAUUGUGGACUCAACUGAGACCAUCCAGGGCUUGCUACGGAUAAAGCAGUUACUUGUGUCCUUGGAUAUGAAAGAUGGUUGUGUGGAGACCCGUGCUACUGCUAUACAUGAUCAUGUGUUGUCGCUACAAGAUGAUGCAUCCAGUGUGAGUAGGAGGAGCAAUAUGGUCAUAGAGAGGAUGGAUAGAUAUAUUGGACGGAUUGAUGAUCUUAUUAUCCAGGUUGAUAGGUCCAUUGAUAUGAUGAGAAGUGUGCAUGCCCCAUUACAAUGAGAGUUAUGAUAUAGUGCGAGGCAUGCAAGGUUGAAUUGAUGAGAAGUCCGCUCCAUGAGAGAGAUUCUCUCACACCUACUCCCAUGUUCUCCAUUUUCUUCAGAUCCAGCAAGUUUUGGGGCUUCUCUACCGUUCCAUCACUGCUACCGUCAGAUUGACCAAAAAAAUCUCUAUUUUCCUUCUUUGCCUUUUGUUUUGCAUUUCACUAUCAUAUUUUUGUACAUUGAGGACAAUGUACAUGUUAAGUUUGGGGUGGCUGUUGUUUUAUCAUCGAUUGUUCUAUAGAAUUAACUGCUUUUGUGUGAUUGUCAACUGUCAAAAAAAUGUAGAAAAUCAGAAAAAUUCAUAAAAACAUGUCCUUUUAUGCUUUUUAUUACUUUUGAGUGUUUAUGUGCCCAUGAAGUAAGAUAAUACCAGCCUCGGGUCUUAUCCACCCCAGCUGUUAUUUUAGGGAUAUAAAGGGUCGGAAAGACGGAGAAGGGCAUCUCAACCCCAAGGGACGCCUCUUUCCACAACAUUCAGGAGCCCACCAUUUGGCUCCAGGAUUUCAGAUUGAGUUGGGUCGGAGCUAACCCAUAGGACCUAAGUACCAAGAAAGGGUGAAUUGGAAGCCUAAGGCCAGCUCUAAGACUUGCCAUCAAUGAUGUGUAUAUUAGAAUAAUCUAUUAAACUAAAACUUG